UGGGGAAUCAUAGACAAUGGGCGAAAGCCUGAUCUUGCCAUGCCGCGUGAGCGAUGAAGGCCUUAGGGCUGUAAAGCUCUUUCACCGGUGACGAUAAUGACGGUAGCCGGAGAAGACGCCCCGGCUAACUCCGUGCCAGCAGCCGCGGUAAUACGGAGGGGGCUAGCGUUGUUCGGAAUUACUGGGCGUAAAGCGCGCGUAGGCGGACCAUCAAGUCAGGGGUGAAAUCCCGGGGCUCAACCCCGGAACUGCCUUUGAAACUGAUGGUCUUGAGGUCGAGAGAGGUGAGUGGAAUUCCGAGUGUAGAGGUGAAAUUCGUAGAUAUUCGGAGGAACACCAGUGGCGAAGGCGGCUCACUGGCUCGAUACUGACGCUGAGGUGCGAAAGCGUGGGGAGCAA
rnacentral:rRNA from 1 species